GUCACAAGGAUCUAUCUCGGAUUUAAUAAUUUUGAGAAAAUCAACCUCGAAGUUUUAGUUUCCUUUUUUAAAUGCUGUUUAACAAUUGAAAGCGAUUUUCUAUUUUUUUAACGCAGAAAUAAUUACGAACAUGUGAACUUUAGUAUAUUUAAAUAUUUUCGUUGAAAACCCAUCAAUAUUACUGAAAAAAUUAGAUGUUUACGAACUGAAUUAUGAAUAGUCCCUUUAAACUUGUAAAAUAGACUUAGACCCUUUUGUUAGAUCCAAUGUUUGUUUUGAUUCUGAGUUAGCUCAUUUCAGGUGUACCCUUUGCUAGAUUGUCAUUUAAGUUAGGUUUUUUGAAUCCGACUAAACUAAACUGAAGUUUGCUUUGAAAAACCCGAAACAGUUUUAUACCAAGCAAUUUUCAGUGAAAAUUGUAUCGAUCAAGUGAUGAAGUAAAACUCCCAUGCGAAUGUAUAAUAAUUGGUACUAUAGUUGGCUUCUACGAUGAGUGAUAAUUGAAAUGCAUCUUGAAAUGUGAAACCCGUUAGUGCCAUUCUCUACAAAUCCUAGGAUUUCAAGGACCAGAAUUUGGAAAAGACUGUGGAGACGGAACAAAAGGUUGUAUUUGUGCUGAGAGUUGGAAAUGGAUUAAAUGGUUCAUGUUUCACUCAUAAUAUAAAUACGGGUGAAAGAGAAGACGCUCUGCUUUACGUGCAGUACAGUGAAAAGUGUAACGAGUACAGUUCAAACUGGUUCAAAUAGAAAAAGUUAUGAUCAAGGUGUUUGGAACUAAAACUGUAGCAUAUGAUAAAGAAAGUUUUUUAUUCAAAAUUUGUUUUUGUAAGGACAAGAGUGUUUAAUCAUUGAAUAAACAUUUAUUGCUCUGUGUUUUGUUUACAUUUCUCUGAGAAUUUUCUAUAACAAAGCAAAGCCUUGGUGCUAUAUUCCGAUUCGGAACUUGACCUUCUGUUUACUAUACACAGACUUCGCAGCCAACCGUCAAGUGUACAGGACAAUUGCAGGGCUAGCGCUACGAUCCUACUGACACUAACAGUCUCUCCCGAUACAAGACUCGAACCUACGACGACUGGCUUGUUAGACCAGCAUCGUACCUCGAGACCAGCUGGGGAGGCCAACAUGUAACUAACAUGUAACAAGAAAUAAAAUAUACUCCACAGGCCAGUCUUCCUCUGCAUCCAAAUCAGCAUCGAAGUGCUCUUGCCCGUUAUGUUUUCUUUUCCUGCCUUGUUUUGGAACCACAAGAUGUUUAAGCAUUGUUCCAUAAUACUGCUCACUUGUGUAAUACUGCUACUGAUCAUGAUCCAUUUUGUAGAAAAUAACGCCGGGAUAAGAGGUGCGGUACUCGAAUUGCAUGAUUUUUUGGAAUUCGAUUGGCUGUCCAGAUGAAUUAUACUUUGGUCGCUUGUACGUUCUUCAAGUAAUUUCAAGGCGAAAAAAUCGCAUUGUUCCAAUUCCUUAACAUCAAACGCGAUUUUUCUCCUGAUCUGCGAUAUAAAGACAGCCCAAUCUCUUGAGGUCUCAAUAUCCAUGGUACUUAGUUUCUUGGCUCGUUCGAUUGCGGCGUGUACCGAAUCCACUUCCAUGUGGCUAUGGCCACUAACCAUGAAAUUAUGCCGAAUCGUCAUCUCACGAUUAGCUCGCAUGCAUUCCUCUACAAAGUAUGCUAUCAACAUGCAGAUCGUAAAAUUAUGAUUUUGGCCGGCGCAUCUGUCCAGGAGUACAAUGUUUUAAUUAUAGAGAUAGGAGAUACUAGAGCAGAUCGGUAUGUGGAAACAGGUGGGAAGUGGAGCUUAAAGAGAAGUAUCACAGAGAACAGAUAUUCAUGUUCAUUAAAAAAAAUUAAAAACCUGUGAAAAAGUUGCACUGCAUGAAUACUGCCGUUUCGAUAUUUUAUCGCUAUCAGUGCUUGGUUUGUCAUUGACACGAGCGCCACAUAGCGGGAGCAUUACCAUUUACGUUGCAAGUUUUCACACAUCCUUUGAAAAUAAGAUGAACGUCUGUUCUCUGUGGUAGUAGGCUCGAAAGUUAAUUGAUGUUCCAGAUAUUAUGAAUAAAUUUACAAUUACCUGUCAGAAUAUAAAUUGAUAACUCGAACUUUUGAGAAUGAUUCAUCGGUUAGUAGGAACCGCAGGUUCUGUAAAAGGCACGAGCCAAUUUCCUGUGACCCUCUGCGAGCGAUUGACUCAUUCCACAAGUAACACCGUGCAGAGUUUCGGCCCUGAUACGUCUCAAAAACAGUCAUAUUUAGAGUAUAUAACUGCCGGCUGUAAAAUGCCUGACCACACAGGAGAUGAGGCGUUGGCAGACAUUUUUGUAGAUCGAAUGAAGCGGUAUAGAUAGUUUGAUCUUUCUUAGCAUCCUGAACAGCCUUUUUCUUCGCUGCAUACACACGUUGUACCUGUUCUUGA